rnacentral:lncRNA from 1 species
GACUCUAAAAAAGACACAACAUCAGAGAGGGAAAGUGCUGAUAAUUGUGAGCCUUCUUCUAAGAAAUUUUGAGUACACAUCUUGGACUCUAGAAAUACACAUCUUUUACAUACUCUAUCACACUUCUGCUAGGCAUUUUUACACACUAUUAAAUACACUUUUAGGAGUAAAAAUCAGCAGCUGAACUUAAAGAAAGCAAGCUGAAAUUGUGAGCUUUAUGAGUACUUCUUAGAGUGAAAACUCUUUUCAAAAAGAAUAAGUCUUUCAGAGUUUAUUCCGGGUUUCUUCUUUAAGGUUUUGGGGCUGUCUGGAUACAAAUUUGCUGUUGUUGUUGCUCAUUUUCGUUCCUGUUUUUCUGCUAUUUUGCUAUUGUUUCUGCCCAUCUCAUUGCUUUAUUUUCUUCCUGCUAUCCAGGUAAUUCUCUUAAAGUGCUACUGUAAUUUUGGCUCAAGAAUGAAUGGAGACGAAGCAAUUUGAGUUCUCUUCAGCUUAAUCUAAGCUUUUAAAAGCAUUCUGUUUCUUGUAAAGUUUUGUAUGUGAGCAUAUAUAAUAAAUAGUUGAUUUGUUAUUGUGACUCACUGUCACCUUUUUUUUUUUUGUGAAAAAU